CCGGCAGCCCCCUAUUGGAGGGGGCGCCUGGCCCACCGGCACCCUUGUACAAUUUUGGGUUACAGUCUUCUUGACGGUAAUUCAAAAUUUGGACACUGUAGCGCGGGAAUGACAGGGGGAAAAAUUGCAGGGAAAAGAUGAGAACAACCACGUUGAACCUGGCCCAUUUCCCAUUUCCCUAAUACGUUGAACCCACAAGGGAAAAAAGACAAAGUGACCUUCUUCUUCUUCCCAAAUCGAACGGCGAUUUGCAACUUCUUCACCAAAUCGAUCAGCGCUUAGCAACCCGGAAAAUCGGUUGGCUCCUUACCCCUAAAAAGACGACCGACAACUGGCUCGUUACAACUAAAAAGACGACCGGCGUCCGACACUUUACCCUCAAAAACCGGCAGCGAAAGGCAGGUUUCUUUCACCUCUGAGGAUUAUACUUGGUUACGAAGAACCUGCAUCGUGGGAAGAGGUUGAAGGAAUGACCGACAAAGUGUGUUGAGGAAAGUCAUGCAGUUACACAUCCCUUUACAUUGAGGAAUGUGGCUCCUCCGUCGUCAACACAUAUGGCUAUCAGUUUUCAAGGUACCGCAGUACCGCACUACUAUCCACAUGUAGCUUAUCAAGCUGGAAUGGACUUCGUCUUAUUUGACGCGUCACAACAAUCUGCCACAGAUGAUGAUGUUUAGAUGUAGUUUUUUUUUCCCCCUUUUCGGAUGGUUCCUUCAUUUUGCAUUUCUCUCAAAUGUAGUUGCUUCAUUUUGAUGACAUUGCAGAUUUCACCUUCAACUUGAGGUUCUCAUUUUGUUAAAUUGCCAUCUAAGUGUACCUUACUUUCUUCACUGUCAUAAUGAAUUGUAUGAUGUAUGAAUGUAAUUCCAAUUGGUAGAGCAGU